AUUGAACGCUGGCGGCGUGGCUAAAGCAUGCAAGUCGAGCGAACCCGCAAGGGUGAGCGGCGGACGGGUUAGUAAUACGAUCGAACGUACCCUGAGGCGGGGGAUAGGCGUGGGAAACUGCGCGUAAUACCCCAUGAUCUCUCCGGAGCAAAGGUUUACCACCUUGGGAUCGGCGAUCGUCCUAUCAGCUAGUUGGCGGGGUAAAGGCCCACCAAGGCUAUGACGGGUAGCAGGUGUGAGAGCACGACCUGCAACAUCGGGACUGAGACACUGCCCGGACUCCUACGGGAGGCUGCAGCGACGAAUCUUCCGCAACGGGCGCAAGCCUGACGGAGCGACGCCGCGUGUGGGAUGAAGCGCCUUCGGCGUGUAAACCACUGUCAGGGAACAAGAAACAAUGAUCGUUCCCAGAGGAAGAGACGGCUAACCCUGUGCCAGCA
rnacentral:rRNA from 1 species